rnacentral:rRNA from 1 species
GAUGAACGCUGGCGGCGUGCCUAAUACAUGCAAGUCGAGCGAACAGACGAGGAGCUUGCUCUUCUGACGUUAGCGACGGACGGGCGAGUAACACAUGGAUAAUCAACCUAUAAGUCUGGGAUAACUUCGGAAAACCAGAGCUAAUACCAGAUAAUAUAUUGAACCGCAUGAUUCAAUAGUGAAGGACGGUUUUGCUGUUAAUAAUAGAUGAUUCCGCGCAGCCUUAGCUAGUUGGUAAGGUAACGGCUAACCAAGGCAACGUAGCGUAGCCGACCUGAUAGGGUGCUAUGCCACACAAGAACUGAGAAACGGUCCAGCAUCCUACAGGAGGAGGCAGUCGGAACUCUUCCACAAUGGGCGGAAGCUUGACCAAGCAAACCCGCGUGUGUGAUGAAGGUCUUCGGGUCGUAAAGCUCUUCUAUUAGGUAAGAACAAUAGUAUCAGUAACUACGUCUGUCCUGACGGUACCCAAAGAGUCAGCAACGGCUAACUCCGUG